UAUACAACGACAAACCUCCAGGAGUGCACGUUUUCUCUACACUACAGAAGAGGACGGGCUGCUCAGAGGACGUGGAAAAACUUAUUCAGGAAAUGAGAUGGUAGACGUGACAACCCGAAUAGCCAUUAUGACUUCUUCUCCAGCUGUUACAGAAGACCUAUUGGCCCAUACGAGGCGGCUCCUGUAUCUACCAAAUGUCAUUCAUGUCUAACCUACGCUUCGAAACGACAGAGGCGUCCAACUUCUAGAGUUAAAUGAACAAAUCGGUCGAUUAAGGCAGUGUCUGGGAUGCUCCCGGACGCAGGUUCGAAUCCUCGUCACGGCCCUUGUGGAU